CACACACACACACACACACACACACACACACACACACACACACACACACACACACACACACACACACACACACACACCACCUCCAGCACGUCACAGAGGAACCGACCAACUCACACACACACACCAGACAACUGCUAGCAUGGUGUGAGGGAUAGAAACUAGCAGCGACAGAGGAAAACCUUCACCUCCUGAUUCACGUCGACGCCCAUUACCUGCAACACUUGAAUUCAGAGGGAAACUAGAUGUAUUUUUCUCCUCUGAACCUGAACUCUUUGAGAGUCUACAACGUUUUGUGGGAGCAAGUGAUGAGCGUGACAAAAAAAUUAAAUAAAUAAAGGAAAGACAACCCAGGAGUUACCGUGUGGCUCCAGUGGAGGAGGAAGGUCCCAUCGUACUUCAGUCAGAGCGCCGAAGGUUUACAGCUCUGCAAAGCAUUUGUGUGUUUUUACAGGAACAUGGUUUGCAUUUAUUUUUGCUGUGUGUUUGUUGGCUUUAUCCUUGUAAAUAACGAGUGUGUGUGUGUGUGUGUGUGUAUGAAAUUUCACCUCGCUGUUCUUCAUGAAAAAGGAGAGUUUUUUGUUUAUAACUUCUUUCCUCACAGAAUAAUAAAGUGUCGGGGGUCUCCGCACCGAAACCACUCCCUCCACUAAGUCUUCAGAAAGUGUUUCUUUUUUUUUUUUUUUUUUUUUAAAUGUUGAAAUAAUGUGUGUCUCAUUCUGUAUUCAGAUUCAAAUGAUUUAACUUCUAAGAAGCAGAACAAGCUUUGUGAAUAUAACCUUUGUCUAGGUGGUUCUCCUUCACUAUGUAAUGGUUUGUCAUAUUGAUCUUGCCUCGUGUGAAACUGUUUAGGGUUGUUUUGUUUCCUCUCUCUGAAUCGACUUGUCCUGAGUUACCAGAUGCUGUCUGUGCUUCAUCAGAAUCCUGCUCCUGUUCUGUUCUCUUCUGGUGGGGGGGGGGGAACCUCUGUUCUGCCUCUUACUAGGACUACAAGCAUUAAUCUUUAUCGCCCCCACCGUCUCCAUCUUUGUGGUGAAUUAUCAGAACUUAGCAGUGGAAGUGUCAGCACACGGCUCUGUGUUUGUAGUUUACAUCACUAUGAAAUGAAGUGUAAAGCCCCAAGACGAGCCGGAGUUUACUGGUAUUGAUGAAGCGAGAAAUCAGUCUUAUGUGUUUGUUAUUGAAUCCUUGCGGGGCCCGUCUGGUCUGACAGGCGGAUCACAUUUAGACUCACCUCAGCUGAUAGGCUGCCUCUGUGGGGCCGCGCGAUCGCCGCCAGUCACCACAAAAUCAUGCACACACGCCCAUGUAAAUACAAGUGUACAAAAGAGAUUUUGAUUUUUCAUUGUAUUAAAAAUAAUCCUAUUGUCCCUUUCUCAAAGCCAUUUGAUAGUUUAACAUUCUCGCAGUUGGAAUCAGAUUUGAUAUUUGGUAGUGAUUCAUAGUGAGAUUUCAGCCUGCGGAUUGUCUUGCAGUGAGUACAACGCAGCGUGUCGGGCCGUUUGCAAUGUGAAGCCCCACGGAGGGAGACGGCGGUGUCCCCGGCACCGCACAUCACAGAUCAUGAAAGUAUUACUGGCUUUGAUAGAAGGUACGCUGUGUGUCGGCCUUUUGUUGCUACAACAUCCAUCAGUGUUCGCCGUAUGUUCUUUGACAGAAAGUGUGAUUUUUUUUUUUUUUGCACUAUGUAAAUACAGUACUGGUAAAGGUCUUGUUACUAAUGUGAACUAAAAAAAACAAAAAAAC